UACGAAGGGGGCUAGCGUUGCUCGGAAUCACUGGGCGUAAAGCGCGCGUAGGCGGAUCGUUAAGUCGGAUGUGAAAUCCCUCGGCUCAACUGAGGAAGUGCAUCCGAAACUGGCAGGCUUGAGUACUAAAGAGGGUCGCGGAAUUCCCGGUGUAGAGGUGAAAUUCGUAGAUAUCGGGAGGAACACCGGUGGCGAAGGCGGCGACCUGGGUCGAUACUGACGCUGAGGUGCGAAAGCGUGGGGAGCAAACAGG
rnacentral:rRNA from 1 species